rnacentral:rRNA from 1 species
AGCAGCCGCGGUAAUUCCAGCUCCAAUAGCGUAUAUUAAAGUUGUUGCAGUUAAAAAGCUCGUAGUUGAAUUUCGGGAUCAAUACGUCGGUCGUGCCUUCGGUACGUACUGGCGUCAUUGGUUUCUCCCUUCUGACGAACCAUGAUGUCAUUAAUUUGGUGUUAUGGGAAGUUAGGACUGUUACUUUGAAAAAAUUAGAGUGUUUAAAGCAGGCAUUAGCUUGAAUACAUUAGCAUGGAAUAAUGAAAUAGGACGUUCGAACCCUUAUUUGUUGGUUUCUAGGAUCAACGUAAUGAUUAAUAGGGAUAGUUGGGGGCAUUAGUAUUCAAUUGUCAGAGGUGAAAUUCUUGGAUUUAUUGAAGACUAACUACUGCGAAAGCAUUUGCCAAGGAUGUUUUCAUUAAUCAAGAACGAAAGUUAGGGGAUCGAAGACGAUCAGAUACCGUCGUAGUCUUAACCAUAAACUAUGCCGACUAGGGAUCGGAUGAUGUUAAUUUUUUAAUGACUCAUUCGGCGCCUU